CCGGCACGGACGGGGGCUCCCAACCAACCGCCCCCCCCGUGACGUCCACCGGUUCCCGCCGCUCGGCCCCCGGGCCGCAGCGGCCAUCACCACACGCACUCACGUGUUUUCUCGAAGAAAAAGACCGAAACUGCCCGAGAGGAGGCUUUUAUCUCACGCCAGGUGUCGCGAGAUCUCUCCUGCCCGCCCGAACCCGAGCGGCCCCAGGGCCUCGACAUCCGUCUGUGAUUGGCUCCACGACGCACAGCACGCAAGAUCUAGGUGCGCCUGCGCUUACGUCUGCGCUCGCUCCAGAGCCGAGGCUGGAAGGCGCAGGCGGGUGCUGGCACGUGAGGACUUGGUGAUGCGGCUAUAAAUGUUAGGCCUGCCGCUACUCCUGCCUUGAGCCUCGUUCUUUCUCGCCUAGCGCUGGUACCUGCGGCCUGGUAGAUCUGCGACUCUCGUUUGUCGAGGUCCCUGAUGCCUGAACCUGCAUGCGACGCCGCCGGAACUGCGAGGGGAGGGAGGGCUGGUUCUUUCCUUCUCAAAUAAAGCUGUUUGUUUAGGGGA